GGCUCAUUAUAACAGCUAUAAUGUACUUGAUGUUGAUACUCCUACUUGGAUAACUGUGGUAAUUCUAGAGCUAAUACAUGCACCAAAGCUCCGACUUACGGACGAGCGCAUCUAUUAGAUUAAAACCAAUCGGGCUUGUCGUCCGUGAAUUGGUGACUCUGAAUAGCUAUGGCUGAUCGCAUGGUCUUGUACCGGCGACGUAUCAAUCAAGUGUCUGCCUUAUCAACUUUCGAUGGUAGUUUAUGUGCCUACCAUGGUUGUAACGGGUAACGGAGAAUAAGGGUUCGACUCCGGAGAGGGAGCCUGAGAAACGGCUACCACAUCCAAGGAAGGCAGCAGGCGCGCAAAUUACCCACUCUCGGCAUGAGGAGGUAGUGACGAAAAAUAACGAGACCGUUCUCUUCGAGGCCGGUUAUCGGAAUGGGUACAAUUUAAACCCGUUAACGAGGAUCUAUGAGAGGGCAAGUCUGGUGCCAGCAGCCGCGGUAAUUCCAGCUCUCAAAGUGUAUAUCGUCAUUGCUGCGGUUAAAAAGCUCGUAGUUGGAUCUUCGCCUCAGGACCCGGUCCGUCCAUUGGACGAGAACUGGGCGCCUGGGCUAAUGCUGCCGGUUUUCCCAGCGUUUCCUUGAUUGGCCGCGUUGGGUGGCCGGCGAGUUUACCUUGAAAAAAUUAGAGUGCUUAAAGCGGGCUGACGCCUGAAUACUCGUGCAUGGAAUAAUGGAAUAGGAUCUCGGUUCUAUUUUGUUGGUUUUCUGAUCUGAGAUAAUGGUUAAGAGGGACGGACGGGGGCAUUCGUAUCGCUGCGUGAGAGGUGAAAUUCUUGGACCGUAGCGAGACGCCCGACUGCGAAAGCAUUUGCCAAGAAUGUCUUCAUUAAUCAAGAACGAAAGUCAGAGGUUCGAAGGCGAUCAGAUACCGCCCUAGUUCUGACCGUAAACGAUACCAACUAGCGUUCCGUCGGUGGUAAAUACGCCUUGACGGGCAGCUUCCCGGAAACGAAAGUCUUUCGGUUCCGGGGGAAGUAUGGUUGCAAAGCUGAAACUUAAAGAAAUUGACGGAAGGGCACCACCAGGAGUGGAGCCUGCGGCUUAAUUUGACUCAACACGGGAAAACUCACCUGGCCCGGACACCGUGAGGAUUGACAGAUUGAGAGCUCUUUCUUGAUUCGGUGGUUGGUGGUGCAUGGCCGUUCUUAGUUGGUGGAGUGAUUUGUCUGGUUUAUUCCGAUAACGAGCGAGACUCUAGCCUACUAAAUAGUGACCGGAUAAACGCGUCCGGCACACUUCUUAGAGGGACAAGCGGUGCUUAGCCGCAUGAAGUUGAGCAAUAACAGGUCUGUGAUGCCCUUAGAUGUCCAGGGCUGCACGCGCGCUACACUGGAGGAAUCAGCGUGCUGUAUCCAUUGCCGAAAGGCAUUGGUAACCCCUUGAAAAUCCUCCGUGAUCGGGAUCGGGAAUUGCAAUUAUUUCCCUUGAACGAGGAAUUCCUAGUAAGUGUGAGUCAUCAGCUCACGCUGAUUACGUCCCUGCCCUUUGUACACACCGCCCGUCGCUGCCCGGAACUGAGCCGUUUCGAGAAACGCGGGGACCGCUGUUUCGGCGAGCUCUAUAUGGGUUUGUUCGAUUCUCUGGUGGAAACCGUCU
rnacentral:rRNA from 1 species